UAAGAAAAAUACUAAAAAGGGAUGAUAACGUAACAUAUAAUGUUCACACAAAGUUUAAACGCCCUAAAUAUUAAACACAACAACGAUGAUAAUUAUUUCUUCAAAUUCUAUUUUGUUGCCACUCUAUAAAUAUUUGAGUUGCAAGAUUAGCUCUGAAUGUAUUCCAAGAUGCAGAUGACUCAAUGUGCUCGAUAUAUGCACCAUGCUCAUGUGGAAAACUAUCAUGAGAUUGCUUCUCUUUAUUGUAUAUAGCCUCAA
rnacentral:lncRNA from 1 species